UGCCGGCUCGGCGCGGCCCUCGGGCUGCCCCGGGCUCUGCGCUCCGCCGCGGGGGCCGUCCCGAGGGCGCAGCCGCCCCACCCAGGCUCGUCAGCCCGUGGGCAGAAAGGGAGAAGUCGCUCCGCGGGGCUGGACAGGAGCCCCGCGUGCGGGCGGCGAGGAUCAAGUGGCGGGGGCCCGCUGCGGUCUUCAGUGCCUGUCGUUACAAUAAAGAAUUGACUAUGAUGUUUCCAUAAAUUUCAUAUUCAUCCUUUUGUGCAUCUAAAUUUCUUCCUAAUAAGGAAAUUUUCUUCUUGGAGCGCCUGGACUUCAUCGCAGCACUUGUUUCUCUGCAUGCAUCUAAAUGACUGUGCCUAGUGGUCAGUUAAUAAAUCAAAAAGAAUAGCUAAUUUCCUCCUGUUGAGGUUUCAGCUAAUGACUGGGAAGUUCCAACAGGCUUUCCUUUUGAUGAAGAAAUGGAUGGAAGAGUGGACUACAGGUGCUUCAGAUCCUGUGUGAAUCCAGAAGGAGUGACAGAAACUGGUUUUCUUCCUGGAAUCUUCUGCACUAAACAACUUCAAGACAAACUUCUACUUGCCCAUUACAGCUUCUCUGAUCUUUCAUUAUGCCAAGACCACUGGCUCUAUUAUUCUAGUCACUAAAGGGUGAUAACACAGCCCUCUUAUCCUUGUUUAACCUACCUUGGUCAGGGCCUCAGUAGAAGGGUAGGGAACUCCAUGAAGUAUGAGGA